CUGUGGUGGUGCAGGCUCCCAGUCUCGAGCCGUAUACUGUUGCUGCAGAUUGGCAGUGGCUCGAGUGGCUCUCCCAAAACCCGAAAUGGAUUAAGCGGUUAACCGUGAAACACAAACACAAACUCCACCUGCCUCAGAGCAGUGCGCUCUACAGGUGAGCCACAGGAUCCCACACCCCACAGGUAAAGCAGGACAAAAGAAAAUUACAUUCCAGAGUUGACCCUCUUUGACAAGUCAUCUUACUUAAGGUUGACAGCUUACAGUGAGGCACCUCAGAAAAUGUCCAAGCUGAAAAAUAUCAGCGUGCCGAGCGGGGAGCGCAGCAGGAGGCGGCGGGGGGCUCUGGGGGAAAGCUGCGGCCUAAAGGAGAUAAAAAUAAGAUGUGCCAAUGACAAAGAUGCAUUGACCUGCAUCAGGCACAAAGAAAGACGCCCUUGACCAGCGUGGGCACGCGGGCUGAAGGAAGGCUCGGUCAUCGCCACUUCGUCACUCAUCAACCUGCCGCCUGCAUCACCAGCUGCUGCACUGCUCAAGUCUAUGUUUGGAUCACUUAAAGUGAUGGUCUGAUUGCACCUCUGCCCAUAAGUGUGUCUGAAGACAUCUGUAACCAACCAUGGUCAAGGGAACACGCUUCAGUCUUUGCUGAUCUACAGAGAGAGCUGAUGGUGUAUUUGAUGUUAUGGUGGAGUUACGUUAAUCCAGUAUGAAUCUGCAGUGUGUAAGUUUUCAGUGUUUUGUCGGACAUAUAAUUAAGAAAUAAUUAAAAAAUUAAAAUCUAGUAUGAAUUUGCAGUUUUUAGAGUCUAAUAGAAACUAACUUUAGAAAUUAUAUUAAUUUAUUAUGAAUUGGCAGUUUAAGUAGCGUUUAUAGUCUGACAGUAAGUGAAUCCAAUAUGAAUCUAGUAUCCAGUAUGAAUCCAGAAUCCAGUAUGAAUGUGUAGAGUGUGCAGAGUUCUUGCAGUUUGCCAGUAGGUAGUAGUAUGUAUUGAUUUGUAGAAGUGAUGGCAAUAACUGUACAGUGAUUUUAUUCAAUAAAAAAAAAGAAUAAAUGAAACUGAAAAUAAAUCCAUUAUGAAUCUGCACCGUAUGUACAUUUUUCACAAUAGGAAAGUAUCAACUAUAGUAAGUUUAAUUCAAUUUGAAUUUGCACCCUGUAGAGUUUUUAUUCUAUCAGUAUUAAUUGUUAUUAAUUAUAACCCAGUGUAAAUUUGCAUUGUUUCUCUAGCAUUGUUUUGUUGUGGAGUGGUGUUAAUCCAGUAUAAAUCUGCAGUAUUAUAGAACAUCAGUUUUUCUGGAGGCUGAAUGGUGUUCUGUAAUAGACUGGACCUGAAACUCCCUUAGGGGCAGUUAUACUGUACCGAUCCAAGUGCAGCAGAAUAACCAAACCUGCCAGC